ACAGUGUCUGGUGGGUAGUUUGACUGGGGCGGUCUCCUCCUAAAGAGUAACGGAGGAGCACGAAGGUUGGCUAAUCCUGGUCGGACAUCAGGAGGUUAGUGCAAUGGCAUAAGCCAGCUUGACUGCGAGCGUGACGGCGCGAGCAGGUGCGAAAGCAGGUCAUAGUGAUCCGGUGGUUCUGAAUGGAAGGGCCAUCGCUCAACGGAUAAAAGGUACUCCGGGGAUAACAGGCUGAUACCGCCCAAGAGUUCAUAUCGACGGCGGUGUUUGGCACCUCGAUGUCGGCUCAUCACAUCCUGGGGCUGAAGUAGGUCCCAAGGGUAUGGCUGUUCGCCAUUUAAAGUGGUACGCGAGCUGGGUUUAGAACGUCGUGAGACAGUUCGGUCCCUAUCUGCCGUGGGCGCUGGAGAACUGAGGGGGGCUGCUCCUAGUACGAGAGGACCGGAGUGGACGCAUCACUGGUGUUCGGGUUGUCAUGCCAAUGGCACUGCCCGGUAGCUAAAUGCGGAAGAGAUAAGUGCUGAAAGCAUCUAAGCACGAAACUUGCCCCGAGAUGAGUUCUCCCUGACCCUUUAAGGGUCCUGAAGGAACGUUGAAGACGACGACGUUGAUAGGCCGGGUGUGUAAGCGCAGCGAUGCGUUGAGCUAACCGGUACUAAUGAACCGU
rnacentral:rRNA from 1 species